rnacentral:rRNA from 1 species
AGCAUGUGGUUUAAUUCGAUGCAACGCGAAGAACCUUACCUGGGCUUGACAUCCCGGGAAUCCCCUGGAAACAGGGAGUGCCCUUCGGGGAACCCGGUGACAGGUGCUGCAUGGCUGUCGUCAGCUCGUGUCGUGAGAUGUUGGGUUAAGUCCCGCAACGAGCGCAACCCUUGUCUUUAAUUGCCAUCAUUUAGUUGGGCACUUUAAAGAGACUGCCGGUGUUAAGCCGGAGGAAGUGGGGAUGACGUCAAGUCCUCAUGGCCUUUAUGCCCAGGGCUACACACACGCUACAAUGGUCAGUACAAUGGGUUGCCAAGCCGCGAGGCGGAGCCAAUCCUAAAAAGCUGGCCUCAGUUCAGAUUGCAGUCUGAAACUCGACUGCAUGAAGUCGGAGUUGCUAGUAAACGCAGGUCAGCUAUACUGCGUUGAAUACGUUCCCGGGGCUU